rnacentral:rRNA from 1 species
UACGGGGGGGGCAAGCGUUGUUCGGAAUUACUGGGCGUAAAGGGCGCGUAGGCGGCCUGCUAAGUCGGAUGUGAAAUCCCUCGGCUCAACCGGGGAACUGCAUCCGAUACUGGCGGGCUUGAAUCCGGGAGAGGGAUGUGGAAUUCCAGGUGUAGCGGUGAAAUGCGUAGAUAUCUGGAGGAACACCGGUGGCGAAGGCGGCAUCCUGGACCAACACUGACACUGAGGAGCGAAAGCCAGGGGAGCAAACGGG